UGUACAAGGUGGAGGACUUUGAUUGGUUUUGCUAUGCUUGUCAGCAGCAGGCCUGCAAUAUAUUCCUCUCUCUAUUUCGAUGUGCAUAUAUGUUUAGCCUUGUUGUUCAUGGAUAAAGUCUUGUACUCAUGUGUCUCUAAUAGCUAGCUACAUUUGAAAUUGUUAGUGCUACUGCCAAUUAUCCUUUUUCUGAAACAUAGAGUUGUUAAUUUCAAGUUGAGAGUUGUGUGCUUUAAUUAUAAUUUCAAGUCGACAAAUAGUGAGUUUGAAUUGUGUUUCCAGAUAACUUUCUUUUGAUUUCAGUUUCAUGCUUGUGCAUCGAAGCCUAGUAGCACACCCACACUGCAUUUUCUUAUCAUGGUCAGAGGUUUUCAAUUGUUUACUUUUCUGUGUAUACUUGUGUCAUGCAAAUAGGAAUCAGGUUCUGUUCAGCACUAUGACAAGUGAAUACUUGUUUCUAAACGAAUUUGAACCUUUGCGAGAGAAGAUGAUUUGCUAUCACUAUGUUGCUGUUGAUUCAUCAUUAGGACACAUCAGUAGGUUCUACAGCCAGGCAGGAGCGUCUUCAUUUCUUGCAUGGACUCUUGUAGUAAGAAGCGUUUCCAUUUCUUGCAGGGAUUCUUGCAGUAAGAAGCAUUCUCAUUGGGCUCCUAUAGUAAGAAGCGUUACGGGAUAAUUGACAAUUGGUGUAGGGGCGACUCUGUUUCUAAUUAUACUGGUCAUGCUUCUAUUCUUACUGUCAUUGAUGUCUAGGAUUUUUUUGGUUGACUGGCAACUCAUUAGAAGUUAAAAACUCGAAACCGGGUCACAAUCCUGUUAUUAUACUAGAUAUAAUUCCACGGUCAUGUUGGCUUACUGGGUAAAACUGGAGACUAGCCAUUUUUUUUCAUGGUUUCUUGCCAAAUAUUAACUUGUAUUGUCCGUAAUAUUUUCUUGUGUUUACUUUCACUGCUAGUGCUUGUAUAAUAACUAGUUUAAUUUUUUGUUUUAUAGCAAAGUCGUUCAUCUCAUACCUGUUAACUGUCUGAUUUUCACCAUCACUUAGCACACUAGUCUCUUAUCCGAAUUUCCAAAUUGCACCCACACUUGAUUUUUUUUUUGCAGCAACUCAGUUCCUUAUAUAUUAUUUCAAACUUGGAAUUGUAGGUAGCUGUGUAUAAAUUUAUAUGCGAAGACACUAUCAAGGAGAAAAAUAUUGCAAGGCAAAGCAGAAAAAAAUAGUACAAGAGUUGGUAAUGAACGGGAAACAAGUCCAGGAUGAUCAUCUGAUGAGAUAAGAGGAUAUAGUUUCAUUACUUCUUGACGAUAAACAGAUCGCACACAAAUUGAAAGAAAUAGUAAUGCAGGUUCGCUUCCAUCUCGACAGUUCAUUUCAAUGUGAGUUCAUUUCGACUUGACCCGGCCGUUCCGGCUCUGGGAGUGCUGCUGCUGCUAAGCUGGCCAUGGCCUCUUGUCGCCCGUCGUAAGCAUUUGAUCCAUGAUAUGAUUACGUCACUGAGUCGGUGUCCGACAAUACAAACAUGCCCAUGGACACGGAGGAGCAGCAAUCUAGUGCCUCAGGUCUGAGAUGGGCACAACGCCCACCAACGUUCCUCACCGACUGUCUAUGCGCCGCGGCUCGCAUCAUCUGCUCCCGCUCGUUGGCGGUUCAUUUUGGCGUGACUUGGCCAUUCCGUCCCUGGGAGUGAUGCUGGCCAUGGUCUCCUGUCGCCAGUUGUAAGCAGCUGCUCCAUGAUAUGAUCACGCUGCCGAGUUGGUGUCCGAGAAUGCCGACAUUCCCAUGUACAUGGAGGAGCAGCAAUCUGGUGCCUCAGGAUUCUGGAAAGCUGAAAAUCACCGUGUGCUCCUAUUUUGCUCAGAUGACUAAAAUGGUGGUCAUCCUUGAGCCGCAUUAGGAAAAAAGUUCACAUUUUGCUUCGGAUAGUUAAAACAACCUGGGAGCUGCAUAUUCUUCACGUUCCUGCAUAAGUUAUUGUGAACCCUG